rnacentral:rRNA from 1 species
GAGCGAGAAAAGGGGGGCAACUCCCUGAGUAAAGCGGCGCACGGGUGAGUAACACGUGGGUAAUCUGCCCUGGAGUGGGGAAUAACACCGGGAAACCGGUGCUAAUACCGCAUACGAUAGCGGAGUCUGCGGAUUUCGUUAUGAAAGGAGCAAUUCGCUCUAGGAGGAGCCCGCGGCUGAUUAGCUAGUUGGUGGGGUAAUGGCCCACCAAGGCUACGAUCAGUAUCCGGUCUGAGAGGACGGUCGGACACACUGGAACUGAGACACGGUCCAGACUCCUACGGGAGGCAGCAGUGGGGAAUUUUUCGCAAUGGGGGUAACCCUGACGAAGCAACGCCGCGUGGGUGAUGAAGUCUCUUGGGACGUAAAACCCUUUCGACGGGGAAGAAACCGCAAGGUUGACGGUACCCGUAGAAGAAGCCCCGGCUAACUCCGUG